AUGUUAGGCCGUGUGGUCGACGCCUUGGGACUACCUAUUGAUGGAAAAGGGGCUCUAAGCGAUCACGAACGAAGACGUGUCAAAGUGAAAGCCCCAGGGAUUAUUGAACGUAAAUCUGGGAUUUUACCGUCUUAAGAUGGAAGAAGAUUCGUUCUCCUACCCAUUUCUAUGUUAAGCAAGAGAUAA
rnacentral:rRNA from 1 species